GGGCCCGCACAAGCGGUGGAGCAUGUGGUUUAAUUCGAUGAUACGCGAGGAACCUUACCAGGGCUUAAAUGUAACGGGACAGAUCUAGAGAUAGAUCCUUCUUCGGACUCAUUACAAGGUGCUGCAUGGUUGUCGUCAGCUCGUGCCGUGAGGUGUCAGGUUAAGUCCUAUAACGAGCGCAACCCCCAUCGUUAGUUGCCAACGAGUAAUGUCGGGAACUCUAACGAAACUGCCGGUGCAAACCGUGAGGAAGGUGGGGAUGACGUCAAAUCAUCACGGCCCUUACGUCCUGGCUACACACGUGCUACAAUGGUCGGUACAGAGAGCAGCCACUACGCGAGUAGGAG
rnacentral:rRNA from 1 species